GUAGUUAAUUAAAUGGUUGCGUAGUGUCAAUACCGAAAGGUGACAUACGAGGAAAGUCCGGGCCCCAUAGAGCAAGGAUGCUUGAUAACGUCAAGUGAGGGUAACCUUAAGGAAAGUGCAACAGAAAAUAACCGCAAGAUUUAUCUUGUAAGGGUGAAAAGGCGAGGUAAGAGCUCACCGUAGGAAUAGUGAUAUUCCUAGCCGUGUAAACCCCAUCCGGAGCAACACCGAAGCUUGGAGGCUAAUGACUGCUCGUCACUCCUAAAUUUGGUGGCAUGAGAUAUAUAGCAAUAUAUGUACUAGAUAAAUGACCAUUCUCGACAGAACCCGGCUUAUAGAUUAACUACAUAA
rfam:Clostridium sp. CAG:793 genomic scaffold, scf44